GAGUUAACGGCGCUGCUCGAGCGCGAAUCCGACGUCGAUCUGAUCCUGCUCGAUCUGUCGAUGCCGGGAAUCAGCGGCUUCUCCGGGCUGAUUUAUCUGCGGGCGCAAUUCCCGGGGAUCCCGGUGGGCCUCGUGUCGGCCGGCACCAUCCGCCGCUCGAUGGACUUCGGCGCGUCCGGCUUCAUUCCCAAGCGCUUUGGCGUCGAGACAUUGCGCGAGGCGAUCGGCAAGGUGAUGAACGGCGACG
rnacentral:misc_RNA from 1 species